CAGUCGCCGCGGUAAAACGUAGGGCGCAAGCGUUGUCCGGAAUUAUUGGGCGUAAAGAGCUCGUAGGCGGUCUGUCGCGUCUGGUGUGAAAUCCCGAGGCUCAACCUCGGGCUUGCAUCGGGUACGGGCAGACUAGAGUGCGGUAGGGGAGACUGGAAUUCCUGGUUUAGCGGUGGAAUGCGCAGAUAUCAGGAGGAACACCGAUGGCGAAGGCAGGUCUCUGGGCCGCAACUGACGCUGAGGAGCGAAAGCAUGGGGAGCGAACAGGAUUAGAUACCCCUGUAGUCCCUGUCUCUUAUAC
rnacentral:rRNA from 1 species